GAUGAACGCUGGCGGCGUGCCUAAUACAUGCAAGUCGAACGAGGUGCUUUUGUAGCAAUACGAGAGUAUCCUAGUGGCGAACGGGUGAGUAACGCGUGGAUGACCUGCCCCAAAGUGUGGGAUAACAGUCCGAAAGGAUUGCUAAUACCUCAUGUGGUUAUCGGUUCUAGAAAGCGAUAACUAAAGCAGCAAUGCGCUUUGGGAGGGAUCUGCGUCCCAUCAGCUAGUUGGUGAGGUAACGGCUCACCAAGGCGACGACGGGUAGGGGACCUGAGAGGGUGGCCCCCCACAAUGGAACUGAAACACGGUCCAUACACCUACGGGUGGCAGCAGUAGGGAAUAUUGCUCAAUGGGCGAAAGCCUGAAGCAGCAACGCCGCGUGUGCGAUGAAGGCCUGGGUCGUAAAGCACUUUCUAAGAGAUGAGAAAGGACAGUAUCUUAGGAAUAAGUCUCGGCUAACUACGUGCCAGCAGCCGCGGUAA
rnacentral:rRNA from 1 species